rnacentral:rRNA from 1 species
GACGGAGGAUGCAAGUGUUAUCCGGAAUCACUGGGCGUAAAGCGUCUGUAGGUGGUUUAAAAGUCCACUGUUAAAAAUUGAAGCUUAACUUCAAAGAUGCCGUGGAAACUUUUAAACUUGAGUAUGGUAGGGGUAGAGGGAAUUUCCAGUGGAGCGGUGAAAUGCGCAGAUAUCAGGAGGAACACCGGUGGCGAAGGCGGGUCUCUGGGCCGGAACUGACGCUGAGGAGCGAAAGCGUGGGGAGCGAACAGG